rnacentral:rRNA from 1 species
CGGAGGGUGCGAGCGUUGUCCGGAAUCGACUGGGCGUAAAGGGCGCGUAGGCGGCCUGGUAAGUAGGGGGUGAAAUCCUGCGGCUUAACCGCAGGGCUGCCUUCUAAACUGUCAGGCUCGAGCACGGUAGAGGCAGAUGGAAUUCCCGGUGUAGCGGUGGAAUGCGUAGAGAUCGGGAAGAACAUCAGUGGCGAAGGUGGUCUGCUGGGCCGUUGCUGACGCUGAGGCGCGAUAGCGUGGGGAGCAAACAGGAUUAGAUAUUUUGGUAGUCCACGCCGUAAACGUUGGGCAUUAGGCGUCGGGGGGAGCGACCCUCCCGGUGCCGUCGCUAACGCAGUAAGUGCCUCGCCUGGGGAGUACGGCCGCAAGGCUG